rnacentral:rRNA from 1 species
CAAGUCGAGCGGACAGAUGGGAGCUUGCUCCCUGAUGUUAGCGGCGGACGGGUGAGUAACACGUGGGUAACCUGCCUGUAAGACUGGGAUAACUCCGGGAAACCGGGGCUAAUACCGGAUGGUUGUUUGAACCGCAUGGUUCAAACAUAAAAGGUGGCUUCGGCUACCACUUACAGAUGGACCCGCGGCGCAUUAGCUAGUUGGUGAGGUAACGGCUCACCAAGGCGACGAUGCGUAGCCGACCUGAGAGGGUGAUCGGCCACACUGGGACUGAGACACGGCCCAGACUCCUACGGGAGGCAGCAGUAGGGAAUCUUCCGCAAUGGACGAAAGUCUGACGGAGCAACGCCGCGUGAGUGAUGAAGGUUUUCGGAUCGUAAAGCUCUGUUGUUAGGGAAGAACAAGUACCGUUCGAAUAGGGCGGUACCUUGACGGUACCUAACCAGAAAGCCACGGCUAACUACGUGCCAGCAGCCGCGGUAAUACGUAGGUGGCAAGCGUUGUCCGGAAUUAUUGGGCGUAAAGGGCUCGCAGGCGGUUUCUUAAGUCUGAUGUGAAAGCCCCCGGCUCAACCGGGGAGGGUCAUUGGAAACUGGGGAACUUGAGUGCAGAAGAGGAGAGUGGAAUUCCACGUGUAGCGGUGAAAUGCGUAGAGAUGUGGAGGAACACCAGUGGCGAAGGCGACUCUCUGGUCUGUAACUGACGCUGAGGAGCGAAAGCGUGGGGAGCGAACAGGAUUAGAUACCCUGGUAGUCCACGCCGUAAACGAUGAGUGCUAAGUG